rnacentral:lncRNA from 1 species
GGUACUUUCUGAAGAUAUAUUAAGCUUUGCCUGUUUAAAAUUGUAUACAGGUUAUGUGUUGCGAUGAACGGGGCAUAGCACAAUGAUAUUAUAGGAGUGGGAAAUAGGAUUUGUAUGGACGAUAAAUUUAGGAAUCUGGGAAGUUUCAGACCUUGUCUAAGUUAUAACAACUUGGAGUUUUAGUUUGGUUUAUACAUCAAUAAAAUGUUGGGUAUGAGAUUGUCAUAAUGUAGCUUCUCAAACAAAUAUGGUUUUCAUUCAAAUACCAUGAACCUUAUUUCCUCUUCCAAAUACUCUACUUACAAUAUCUUACAUGAUAUAUUCAACAAAAAAGUAAUGUAAUCUUGGGCAACCAUACCCAUAAUACCUAUUUCAAACAUGCAUAUGGAUCCAACCAGAUGAAUAAAUGGUUGUUGCGUCGUGCCUCAGGGUCUUCAGUCCAGAGGCAAGUACUCCAACACUUGAUCCUUUAACUUCUAGCAUUAUUCCUGCAAGAGAAUUUCAUUUAAUUAGUUUAACUUCUUGCAAUAUCCCCACAGUUACGAUGCUUGGAGUUAUUAAAGUUUGCCUUGUUGGAGCAACAAGAGGCCAUGCUUUGUGAAAUCUAUUGAAUUGCUUGUUGAGCUUGUGUUGCUGCAAACAUCAUUCUUGACUCUUGAUGAGGCAAUCAAAACCACAAAUCGGAGGGUCAAUGCCUUGGAGAAUGUUGUGAAGCCUCGGUUGGAGAAUACAGUUACUUACAUCAAGAGAGGGAGCUUGAUGAAUUGGAAAGGGAAGACUUUUUCCUUCUGAACAAGAAGAGGGAGGUAGAGAAACAGGCGGCCGCUGCCAGGCUACAUGGGACUAUUUUACCUGUCCCUUUCGAAUCGCUUUCAAGCAGAAAAUAACAGAGAAAUUAAAGAAAAUAAUAACACAAAGAUUUAACGUGUAAAACUUUUCAAUUGGAGAAAAACUACGGGCCUCUCAGAAAAAUAUUCACUAUAUAAAAAUUAUUACACCAUACAAUACACAAUAUUUUUCUAACAUACCCUCACUUCCUAAAAUACUAUUCUCAAAGAGAUCUCCAACAGAAUUAUCUCUAAACCUCUUUAAUAGUAAAGAAGAAAAAGAAUAUUUCUGUGUGUAUUAAACAAUGAAGGACAUAAAGUUUAUUUAUAACUCUCAACCUCCUCCCAAUCAAAGAAAAUUUCUGAUGUAGAAUUUUUUUUUCUUCAAAACAAAAUUCAACACAUAGCAGAAGGCUGCUGAAGAAAUUUCUUUGAAAAGCGGUACUACACUUGGUUCAGCCCAUAACUUACUGUCCCACUCUUCACAGAGAGAUGAGGACAUUAUUUUCUGAUUUGGAGGUUAGCUUUUUAUAUAAUUAGGACUUGCAAUUUCAGCUUAUAUUUAUAAAAAGAGUUCAUUUAAUCUAUAUUUAUUAAAUUGGAUUACUCAUAUUUCAAAUGGAUAAAUAUAAAUUUUAACUCAUUUUAAAAGCUCAUACAAAUAUGAAUAAAAUGGGUAAAAUAUGAGUAUUCAUUUAAACACAAAGAUCACCCACGUAUGCUUAAAAUUUUAAAAAAAAAAAAUCUUUUUUAGUUUCUUUUCUUCUUUUUUUUUGGUUUUUACUUUCUUUUUUUCUUUAAUUUACUUUUUUGCUUUUUCAUUUUUUUACUCGUUUCUUAUAAUUUCUUUUUUUCUUUCUCAUUUUUUCAUCUAUUUUUUUUUCUUUGUAUUUUUUUUGUUUUCCCCUUUUUCAUUCUUAUUUCAUCAUUCAAAUUCGCUUGAGACCUACAUGGGUUAAUUAAUUUAAACUUCUAAUUAUUCCAUUUAGCCUAUACAAUUUAUAACAUCUCUUAUCAAUUAAAUAUAAUACAUAGUCUCACUCCUUUAUUAUUAUUUUUUUCUAUCUUUUAUUUCUCAUUAUUUUUUUUUCUUUUCCAGUUUUUUUUUUCUUUUUCCUUUAAUUUACUAUUUUUUUCUUUCCUUUUUCCCUUAAUUUACUUUUUUUCCUUUUUUAUUUUUUCCACUUAUUUUUUACUCAUUUCUUACACUUUUUUCUUUCUUCUAUUUCAUCAAUUUUUUUCUUUUUCAAUUUUAUUUCUUUUUUCUUCGCAUUCUUUUUUUUUUGUAUUUCGUUUUUCCCCUUUUCAUUCUUGGUUCAUCAUUUUUGUCAUUUUUCUUUUUUUUUAUAUUUUUUUCCUCAUCUUUUUUUCAUUGCAUUUUAUAUUUUAUAAUUUUUUUUACUUUAAAUUUAUUUGUAUGUACUAUAUAUUUCAAAUAAUUUUAUUAUUUGUAUUUGAAUAGUUUAGUUAUCAAUAUGUACAAUUUAUCAUUUGUAUUUAUAUACAAAUAAGUGUAUGAAUUAAUUGCAUUUUCUCGAGACUAAAAUAUAUAAAUAUACAAUGUAUCAUUCAAUGCAAAUGUGUCAUUAGUAUUUGUAUAUCAAUUUGCGACUGCUAAAGAUAUUUGGUUUGAUGAAUGUAAUCCCAAGAUCUUUCAGGAUACUAUCUUUGUAUCUAUCCAUUAGGUGGAGUCUACUUGAGUGUACUUACACAAAUUAUAAAUGUUGGACGAAUAUAAAUCAAUAUGCACUUAGGAUAUUUUUGCUAUCAUAAAAAAAUAGAAAAAAAAUCAAAAAAAAAAAGAGAGAGAGAGAGAGGUAAAAGUUAGAGAUAGAAGAGAGAAAAAAAUGUAAAGAAAGAAUUGAAGAAAAAAAUAUAAAAAAAAAUUAAAAAUAAAAAAUAAUGAAAAAGUAGAAAAGAAAAAACAAUGAUGGCAAAUACAAAUAUACUGAGUGGUUAUGAUAUUUCAGUCAUCAGUCAUACUUUGUACUCGACUUAACCAUGUUUUUCAAAAAUAAAAAAAAUAUAAAACAUAAAAUACAAUGAUAAAAAUGAGAAAGAAGUAAAAACAAAACAUAAUAAAAAAUAGAAAAAAAAGGAGACUAAAAAGGAAAAGAAAAAAAAGAAAAAAAAAAAAGAAGCAAUGGGUAGAGAUAGAAGAGAGAGAGAAAAAGAAAUUAAAAAAAAUGAAAAAAUAAAACUAGAGGCUACAUAUGAAAGAGAGAGAGAGAGAAAAUAAUUAAAAAGAAAAAAAUGAAAAAAAAAUCAAGUUGAUAUGAUAUAGAAGUUUUAUGUUUUUGACUUUAGGAGUUAAAGUGGGUUGGACCAUUUUUACCCAUAUUUGACCAAAUUUAUAUUUACCUAUAUUUAUAUGGGCGGAUUGCAAUCCAAAUUAUUUUUGCUCGAUCAAUAUUUAACCCAUCCAAAUCCAAUGCAAUCCGCCAGUUUGCCACCCCUAUAGAUAAGUUAUGUGUAUUGUCUAAUAUAGGAAUGGAUAAUAUUUUCAGAUUGAUAUAUUUUCCUUGUUCAAUAAGAGCUCUAUGCAUAUUUGUACUUAGUGAGCUCUAUGGGGAGCUGCCUCAUUGGCUAGUUAUGUGUGCUUUUUUUAAUUUUUUUAUUCAGUGAUAUCCUUGUAUAUUUUUUGCUGGGAGAGCUGCUGGCUGAAAAUUUUAUUUUUGAAUAUUGUGAAAAGCUUAUCUUCUUUGCCUACCACAAAAUUGUGUCAUGUAUUUGAUAAUAUUCUCUCCCGUUACAUGGACACUACACCCAAAAACACACAUAUUGAAAACUACCUUCCUUCGAAGGAUUGAGGUGGGGAUGCAGAUAUACUAAAAAAUUUCUCAUUUUUCUGGGGAUAAACUUGUUCUAAGCCUCCUAUGAGUUCCCAUAAUCCUUUUGUAUGGGUAUAUUGAGUACACUGCAUAUUGGUAAAGAGGAAAGCACGAUAAAUAUACAUAAGUUUUAUGGUCCCUCCUACACAUUUUCCUUUUGAAUUCAUUUGUUUAUUCAGUGAAGUUGUAGGUUUGGUUCAUGCUUUUAGAUAGCUUUUUUUUCUUGCAUUUCUCCAUUGCUUGGAGUCCCAGACUUUAUGGAUGGCAUCAGCAGUAUUUCAUGUUGAUACAGUGUAUAUUCGUGUUUUUAAGGCGUUUUGACACAAUAAAUACCAUGAUGCUUUGGUAGUUGAUGACAACUUAUCAAAAGAAAAGUUAGUGACAUUUUGUUGUGCCUUUGUUGGAUUACUGGUAUGGAUCACCCAUGUGGACUGACCUGACCCGACCCGACCUGAAUUGACCUGACCCGAUCCGACCCAUUUCUCAGUCAGAAUAAUAAGAUUAAGAUAAUCUUAACUCAAAUAAAAAAGGGGGAACAGUUGUAACUGUUUCCGCCCCAAAUCACCCCUAUAAGAUGAUUUUUCCUCUUUGUCUGACGGAUAUGAGAAACAAAAAAAAAAGAUUGGACUUGAAUUCUAAAACAACACCAAUUAAGAGUAUUUAGUUUGUGAAACAAUUUCGUUUCCAAGAGAGACGAAGUGAACUUAAGCAGAUCCGUUUAGAAACAAAAAUCGAUUUCCGCUGCGAACUAAAGGUACACUAUUUUACUCCGAAAAUUUCUAUAAUGGUAUCAGAGACUGAGUUUAAAUUGCCCUAAUUUCACAUGCAUAAUCUCGAUUUUAAGUCUAAAAAUACAAAAUCGAGUUAGUACUUACAUGUUAGAAAUUUUGUUGACCGAAUUAGAACGUACCUGUAAAAUAAUUUGGUCUCCGAUCAGACGCUGCUCUGGUCAGAUGCGCCACCACAACUCCGGUUGGACGCACUACUGAUUCAUUCAAACGCUGAUUCAGUCAGACGCGUCAAAGAUUUUAUAGAUCUGACCAGACAUGAUUAUUGUUAUAUGAUGGAAGAAAAAAUAAAAGAAAACACCGAAUGUUAUUCGAGAGAGAAGAUGAUGAAUGUUAUCUUUAUUUUUUUAUUUGUUGUUUUAUUGAUAUAUGAUAUUUGGUACUUGUGUAGUACAAGUACUACUAAUAGUAGUACAA